UUUCCAUGUUAUAUAUUAAAUUUACCAUGGAUGGUGUAUAUCAAAACGUUUUCCACGAAGAAGAACCAGUACCAACAAGGCUACAAGCCUAAAAAGAUUGCAUUACACACCUCUCGUACGCAUUGUGUACAAGUAAAUGAACUCCACCAACACCUGAGAAUGAGGCAUCCUACCUAGCGUGUAGGCAACAAUUUCACAGUAAAAACAAAAUAUCCCACCACUGUUUCCCUUUUGUUUUCUUCUCUCUUUAGAAGAAAAAUCACUUGUGGGUCUCACUGUCAAGUCUCAUAUCAGCUCACCAGUCCAACAGUACUUGCGCUUAUAGCUACACAGCACAAGAAGCAAUUGGUGCUGGAUUGCGCUCUAUGAACAAAAGCUUCCAAAUGCUGCAUGAUUACGAAGACAAUUUAUUUUCUCUGAUAUGGGUCGAAGAAUGUCAGUAUACUUCAAGGUUGGUACCCACUCUCAUAAAAAUGACAUGUUUUCAGAAGAAGAGAAAAGAAGCAAGUUUCUCCAAGGAACCAAGGUUUUUGUCCUCACCAUUGUAUGUAGUUCAUUGUUUCUGUACUUCUGAUGUGACUCAUAAGCAAUAAUCACAUGCAAUAGAACUAGUAAUUUCUCUUCAUUUAUAAGCUGGUGCAGUGGAAAAAGCAACAAUGGUAAACGACAACUGAUGGCUCUCUCCAAUUCCAUACAUGGAAAAUGGAAAACCAAGAUCGUCUCUCGUCCCACUUCAGAAAAAUGUCCUUACUUUCAUUCAACUUUAGUAAAACCUUUUCUAAAGCUUCCCUCAUUGAUUAGUUGCCAAUGCUGAGACUGAAAUGGAGGAACGAGGAGACCCUACUUUCCAGCAUAGAAUCAAAUCCAGAGGUUCUUGUACGGGGACUGUCAAAAUAAUAAUUGGAAGCGAUUCAAAGCUUUGCCAGCAUAACACUUUGAAGAGGCUUGGCUACACCAUUGUCUUUGACAUCAGCGUCUUUGUUAUCUAAUUCGCAUGCGUUAGGUGGGACAUCCACAGCAGGAGAGCAGUUGAAGAACCCAUGCGGCAUAAGCAUAAAACCAAUGCGCUCUACAGGCAUUACUGGCCAGUCUUCCAACCGAGGAACAUGUGUGAUCCCAAAUACAUACCUGCAACAAAUAUUAAUCAGAAAUGACACAUAGGAUGAAUUUACCCAAAGUUCAGCUAUAAAUGUUUACAUUAAAAUCUAAAAAUAGCACAAUAGAAAAUAACAAACCACUCAUUUUUAAGGUUACUGCAUUAUAAUCACCAACUAAAGUUUAAAGGUUAUAAAGUGCACCGUUGAUAAGCAUCAUUACGGCGGUUUGAGCCUGGGACACCUCCAUGCAAAGAACUACAUCAGUUUCUUCCAAAGAUCGAUUCUGCUUCACCCAGGUAGCAAGUCCUUCUCCAACACGUGGAUUUUGGUUAGGGAACUCUCCUCCAGGAAACAUCUCAUCAUGUGCAUAAGGUGUAACCCAAAGAUUAUGCUUCAAAAAAGCAGCUCUUCUCAAAACCUUGGCCUCAGGGCCAGCUAAUGGCAAACAGUUUGAACCAGGUACCAGCUUGUACCCUGCUAAUUGUCCCAUCCGAUUGACAGUUCUAGUAUUUCUCACAAUCCAAUGGCGAGCUGUUAGAGGAUUACAGUCCCGCAUUGCUUGCAAUUCUGAUCUAAGCAGAGUCUCUUCAGCAUAAAAUGCAUUAUUGUGGACAUUGUUCUCCCCAGGCUUCUCAACCUUAACAUCCACCUCAACAACCUGAUUGAAAGCUUCACCAGGUUUGCAAUCUACAGCCAUGUUCAUACGAGCAACAAAGAAAUGUUGAUGAACUGGUGCAUAUAGACCAGGAGCAAUGGUUGUGCCAUAUUUUCGAAUAUCUCCUGGUUGUAAUGCUCCCAAGCUGAGGAUUCCUGUAAGUUUAACUUCUGCUUCAAUUUUUCCAUCCUGAUAGAAGUGCCAAUAGAAUCCAUACUCAUAAUUAGCAACUGUACAUAUAAAAGAAACUGUGAGCCGUCUAGACCUUCGUACUUCUGCUAAGCCAGUUCUCCAGUCUUGAUGCUUCCAUAAAAUUCCAUGAUCCUCUUCAUGCAAGCAUACACAAUUUUCAAUUGUUUCAAUGCCUCCUGUGAAGUUUGUAAAGUGGGCAUCAAAGUAUUUGAUAUGGCCCAAACAAUCACACCCCUUUUUAAGAGAAUGUGCAUUUUUACCAAGGCCAUCUUCCCCGGCAUCAAAAGCAUUUUUCCGAUAAUGAGGAUCAUUUGGAUCUCCAUAAGGCACAACCAUCUCUACAAAGCUUAACCUAUGGGCAACAGGUCUCCGCCCCCUGCUACCAUCAACAUAUGCAACAGAAUGUAAAACCAAACCCUCUCUGGGAGUGAAUCCAAUGCGAAAAUUCCACUUUUGCCAUUCAACAAAGUAUCCAUUGACACGAAAGCUUGGACCUUCAGGCUGAACAAUUUGUAAAGGUUUCACAUCACUUCGAUCAACACCACCCCUUGUUUCACCAGGAGUAUAAUUCCUUAAUGGAUCUGCUGGGGGUAAGGGAACAAGUUUACGAUCUUCAAACUCAAUCACCUUCAUGUUCUGCAUGUCAACAAGCACAUAGAUGCCCUCAACUGGGCGUGCAUAACCAUUUUCCAUUGGGCAAUCACUCUCAGUUCUACAGAAUAUAAGAGGUUUAGCAAGUCUUUUGCUUGGAGCAUCAGCUUCACUGUGAUAACCAACACACCAGGCAUCAACCAUUACAAGUUCCAUGUCUUCAAUACCUCUUUUCUUCAUUGCCUCUCUAAAUGGAGGGAAGUCUUUUACAACAGCUUCACACUCAGCAUAUUCAACAGCAUCCAUUGGCGGCUGAACAUCCGGAACAAUUCGUGACAAAAUUACUUUUCCCCUAUGAUGUCCACCUCGAGUCACUGCAUGUACUUCCGAUAGCUCCACAAUCCAUAUACUCGUCUCAUUUGACCUUUUGUUGUAAACAACAAGUCUAGCUCUCCUUGGAGGCAACUUGGUAGGAAUUACAGGUCCACCUUUCGUUCUGGGAAGCAACGAUGGCUGGAAAGGAAGGAAGAAAUAAGCAUCUGCCAAUGCAACAACAUGUUUAUCCGGUUCCAAAAGGACCACCUCAAUGAAUCUCAUGCUAUCUCUGAGCUCAGGAGUGGCUCCAGCAGCCCGGACAGUUGCCACUGCCACAGAGAUUUCAGCAGCAGAUAAAGGAUCCAAGGGAUGGCUGGUUUGAGCCCUCAACAUGACUGGGAUGCCAGCUUUGGCGGCGGCGUUUGUGGGAGGUUCGGGAAGUGAAUCAACAGGGCGAAUCAAAGCCGCGAUGGCAGCCUUCUCACCGAGCUGAUCCUCGAGGCGGCGAUCGGUCCAAUCUUGCACCGCAUUCGGCACUACGGACGAAGGCGUUGGAGCAGCCUGGCGGCGAAUGGUAGCAGAGUCACUUUGAGAGGCGCAACACGGAGAAGGAGGCGUCGUCUUUUGCGUAGUUGAGGCCAUUGCAGUGGGUUUGCGAGCUCGCCUAUUCCACCAAGGUAAGUCUCUAUACAAUCUACUGACAUACAGCAAUUCUCUUCUGUACCUCUCUCUCUCUCUCUCUCCCACCCCCACUCCCCUUCCCACUAUUUUUAUUUUUAUCUUUUGGGGUUGAGGGUAGGGAGAGGGAGCAAUGAGAGGAGUUCAAAUCGUUGACUGCCUGCCAAUAUUAUUGGCUUCGAGGAACUUCCUCUUUUUGUAUAUGAUCUUAUUACAAGAUGUAAUAAGCUAGUUUUAAUGCCUAAACUUUAAUUUGUAUCAUGUUAUGAUUUAUGAAAAUUUUGAUUAGGAGCUUAAAUUGGCCUUGACAGUUGAGUCUUAAAUUUGUGUUUCUAUCUGGGUUAGAAAGUUUUGAUUUUUGUAUUUAUCCUUGGUUAUAGGAGCGAGGGUAUUUUAUUUUAUUUUAUUUUAUCUUUUUUCUGUGAUGGGCUAACCUGUAGUGCUUUGAGUCUUAUUUGAGUAUUAUUUUUAGUAGCUUUUUUUUUUAGUUCUAAAAGUUGUUUGGCAUCUUAUCUUUUUAGUUUCCUCCUUGGGGUCUAAAUUCUUGUAAUAUACUAGCAAACUUAAAUAUAUUUAUUUAUUUUUUAUAGAUUGUUGUAUAUAUUGAUGUAGUCUCUUUAAUUAAGUAGGAAUAAUUAUUUUUGGAACUUCUUUCUUGUAAUUGGGCUCUCUUUGGAGAUUGUAUGGUGCAAUUCUAAUCCCACAAGUAAUAACUAAUACUAGCAGGAUCGUAGGUAUAAUUUGGAUGGGGUUCUGAAGGUGCAAUAAAAAAUUUCCUUCUUUUCUUUAAAUUUUCAAACAACCAAGUUUUCUAUUUGGGUUUCAAAUUCAUUAUUAAUUUCUACAAAUUUUCUAUUGAAUAUCCUUACAGAUUCCACUAUCAAUUAGCAUCCAGAGAACUCUAUAUUCCCAAAAUAUUAUUCAUGGUACCAACCUGAAUUAUACAUUUACAGACACUAGUGCCCCGCAUAAUGUCCUUCACUUUUAGUGCUCAAAUAACUUUAAAUGCUAAUCCUAAUCCUUAAUUUUGGUGGCUUUCCUACAUCAAAAUUCUUGUUUUGUUAUAUUUUUAAGUUGUUAGCCUCUUGCACUGAGUUUCAUAAUUGUUGAGAUGAAGUGGACACUAGCAUCCAGUGCAUGAGCAAGUGGAAAUGUUCUUUCAUAAAUUACCUUAACUUUCUAAUUGCAAAUGAUUCAGAUUGGUGCAUCUGGUAUAUGUUGGGCUUACAGUUUUGUUUGACAGCAGGCUAUGUGGAUUGUGGUGCCUGUGUUGCUAGAGUUUGGGGCUUUAAUUCAUGUGUCAUAAUUUGUUAUAUGGUUAGGAAUAAGGUUUAUUUAAGGAAUAUUUCCCUCUAUUUUUUUUGUUCCAUUAAUGCCAUGUGUUAUAAUGGCUUCCUGAAGUUAAUAAAAAGCUAGAUGGUUGCAUUAUUCCUGCAUAAGAAUAAGAUGCUUAAUUACUGUUUUUAAUAUCUCAGAGGAGGUUCUUUUGCAAUGUCCCUCAUGCAAUGUCGGGUGACUUUGGCAAGAACAAUAUAUUUUAGAUGGGAGACAAUCUUGAUGUUAUUCAACUCUACACGCCACAACUUUCUAAACCAUCCUUUUUAUGUAAUAGGGAAUGUCCAGCUGAAUUGCGGGAGGCUAUUGCGAGCAUAAUUUUUUCUGCUCCAAGAUGUUCAGAAGUGCCAGAUUUAUUGCAGAUCAAGAAU
rnacentral:misc_RNA from 1 species